GUUGUAGCUCAGUGGUAGAGCACUUGCCUAGCAUGUGUGAGGCACUGGGUUCAAUCCUCAGCAUCACA
rnacentral:tRNA from 1 species